rnacentral:rRNA from 1 species
UACGUAGGGUGCGAGCGUUGUCCGGAAUUAUUGGGCGUAAAGAGCUUGUAGGCGGUUUGUCGCGUCUGCUGUGAAAAUCCGGGGCUCAACCCCGGACUUGCAGUGGGUACGGGCAGACUAGAGUGUGGUAGGGGAGACUGGAAUUCCUGGUGUAGCGGUGGAAUGCGCAGAUAUCAGGAGGAACACCGAUGGCGAAGGCGGCUCUCUGGUACGUGACUGACGCUGAGACGCGAAAGCGUGGGGAGCGAACAGG